UUCCAGCUACACGUUCCCGUACAGCUACCUUGUUACGACUUCAUCCAAAUUAUUAAUCUCUCAAUCAAUUUUUUUAUUUUUUAUAAUUUAUAAAAUAAAAAACUUUAAAAUCUUCAAGCAAAACUAACUCUUUGCAUGUGACGGGCGGUGUGUACAAGGCCAAGAUACGUAUUCACCGCAACAUGCUGAUUUGCGAUUACUAGUGAUUCCAACUUCAUAUAAGCGAGUUGCAGCUUAUAAUCCGAACUACGAAAAUUUUUAUAGAUUAACUAAAAUUAAAUUUUUUUUGUUUCUAAUUGUAAUUUCCAUUGUAGCACGUGUGUAGCCCAACCCAUAAGGGCCACAGGGACUUGACUUAAUUCUCACCUUCCUUCAACUUAUAAUUGACCGUAUUUUUAAAGCUAAAACUUAAAAAUACAUGAUUUUUUAAAUUGUUAGUAAAAAAUUAAAAAUAAGAGUUACGCUCGUUAAAGGAAUGAACCAAAUAUCUCACGACACGAGCUGACGACAGUCGUGCAACACCUGUAAAAAUUAAAAAUUUUUAUGUCAAGGGUUGGUAAGGUUUUGCGCGGAUUAUCGCAUUAAACCACAUGCUCCACCACUCGUUGUAGGCCCCCGUCAAUUCCUUUGAGUUCCAACCUUGCGAUUAUACUCCUCAGGCGGAGUGCUUAUGGCGUUAGCUUAUACAAUCUAAAUUUUAUUUUAAAUUACAGCACUCAUAAUUUACAGUAUAGACUACCAGGGUAUCUAAUCCUGUUUGCUACCUAUACUUUCGUCCCUCAACGUCAGUUUUUACUAAAAAAUUGCCUUCGCUAUUGGUGUUCCUUCAUAUAUCUACGGAAAUUACUCCUACAUCUGAAAUUCUAUUUUUCUGUAAAAAACUCAAGUAAAACAGUAUUAAAUGUUGUUUUAAAGUUAGGCUUUAAAAUUUAACAAAUAACUUAUAGUACAGUCUACGGACUCUUUACGCCCAGUUAUUUCGGAUAACGCUUGCCCCUCCCGUAUUACCGCGGCUGCUGGCACGAGAUUAGCCGGGACUAAACUUCUUUAAAUAAUGUCAUUAUCAUUUUUAACGAAAGAACUUUACAACCAAUUAGCCGUCAUCGUUCACAUAGUAUUGCUGGAUCAAACUUUCGUUCAUUGUCCAAUAUUCCUCACUGCUGGCCAAAUACUUAGCCUGGACCUUGUCUCAGUUCCAGUGUGGUUGAUCAUCCUUCUAAGACCAACUAAAGAUCGUAGGCUUGGUAGUCUUUAAAACAACCAACUACCUAAUCUUACGCAGAUUUAUCUUUUAGCAAAAUAAAAAUUUUAUUUUUUUUAUAUAUUUAGAUUUAACAUAAAUAAUUUUAUAAAUUAUUUUUAUUUUUAAAAUUUGUUUUAUUCUAAACUAAAAGGUAAAAUUCUACGUGUAUCCUCACCCGUUUGCUACGAAAAUUGUUAAAAAUUUCGUUCAACUCGCAUGUGUAAAGCAUACUAUUAGCGUUCAUCCUGAGCCAGGAUCAAACUCAU
rnacentral:rRNA from 1 species